AUGAAUGCUGGCGGCGUGCCUAACACAUGCAAGUCGAGCGGUAACAGGGGUAAUUUAUUACCUGCUGACGAGCGGCGGACGGCUGAGUAACGCGUGGGAACAUACCCCAAAGUGAGGGAUAACUGCCCGAAAGGGUGGCUAAUACCGCAUAUGGUCUUCGGAUUAAAGGAUUUAUCCGCUUUGGGAAUGGCCUGCGUACGAUUAGAUAGUUGGUGAGGUAAAGGCUUACCAAGUCUACGAUCGUUAACUGGUCUGAGAGGAUGAUCAGUCAGACUGGAACUGAGACACGGUCCAGACUCCUACGGGAGGCAGCAGUGAGGAAUCUUCCACAAUGGGCGAAAGCCUGAGGGAGCAACGCCGCGUGCAGGAUGAAGGCCUUCGGGUCGUAAACUGCUUUUAAAAGUGAAGAAUAUGACGGUAGCUGUUGAAUAAGCACCGGCUAACUACGU
rnacentral:rRNA from 1 species